rnacentral:rRNA from 1 species
AACGAACGCUGGCGGCAUGCCUAACACAUGCAAGUCGAACGAAACCUUCGGGUCUAGAGGCGUACGGGUGCGUAACGCGGGGGAACCUGCCCUUAGGAUCGUAAUAACUCCCCGAAAGGGGUGCUAAUACCGGAUAAUGUCUUCCGACCAAAGAUUUAUCGCCUUUGGAUGGGCCCGCGUUGGAUUAGCUAGUUGGUAGGGUAAAAGCCUACCAAGGCGACGAUCCAUAGCUGGUCUGAGAGGAUGAUCAGCCACACUGGGACUGAGACACGGCCCAGACGCCUACGGGAGGCAGCAGUGGGGAAUAUUGGACAGUGGGCGAGAGGCUGAUGCAGCAAUGCCGCGUGAGCGAUGAAGGCCUUAGGGUUGUAAAGCUCUUUUACCCGGGAUGAUAAUGACAGUACCGGGAGAAUAAGCUCCGGCUAACUCCGUG